UUGAGCCACUUGCCGGUUAGGUGUGGGGUCAGCAACCCCACCCUGGGAAAAACCAUACUGCUACAGAAACGUCAAUACAGGUUCAAACUUCAUCCCUGGAAGAGGAAGUACCUUCAUAAAGAAGACAUAUGAAGCCAUUUGGUGAAAGCCGUAAUUUCACGGAAGCCGUAGGGCCGGUCCCCUUUCUCUCAAACAGGGCCAUAAAGAUUGGUACAUGGAACGUAAAAACCAUGUAGGUGGGGAAGACCGCACGGGUUGCAGUAGAGAUGAAAGAAUGUCAGCUUUCCGUUUUAGGAAUUAGCGAAACCCACUGGAAGCAGUCCUGACAGAAAAGACUAACGUCAGCACAAAGAGCACCCAUCAGCAUCCUUCAGAACCGGGAUGAGCCAGAUCAAGAUGAAUGUCGUACAAUGCUACGCAUCAACCAACGAUAGACGAUAGCGAAGAAGGAAGUAAGGACUAGUUUCACAACAGGCUAGAGUGCAUCGUUAAACAGCUGUCAGAAAAGGAUGUCAACAUAGUCAUGGUAGACUUCAAUACAAAGAUUGGGGCAGGCAAUACUAGCCACACAGAAGCGAUGGGAACACAUGGACUUGGAAAAAUAAACGAAAGCGGCGAAACUGAUAUUUUCUGACACCUGUGCUCUUCACAACAUAGUCAUUGGAGGUGGCAUCUUUCCAAGAAUACACCGCGAUCAACAAAGAAGUAAAGACAAGUGUCAAGCCGGAAAAACGCAGCUACGUAGAAAGACUAGCAGAGGAAGUAGAAGAUGCAGCAGCUGGAAGAAACAUGAAGGAACUCAACGAAACCACCAAGAAAUUGUCGGGCAGAUAGUAUUCAAAAUUAGUAUUAGUGUAACCACCGUGGGAGAAAGCAGCAGAGUGGUAAUAUGAAGUGGUACGUUAUUUCAGCGGUGUUGUGCAGUUUUGUGACUUUUUCACAUGCCGAGGAAUCGAAGACACCUUCACAGCUGAAGAUGCCAUCGAGAUUUACAUCCGUAGACAUCUCAGGUAGUAGAUAUCCAGACAAUUAAAUGUUCCGAUAAGCAAUAUUGUCGUGAUAAUCAAACAUGUUGUCUUGCUCUUGGAGUGCCGUAUGGAUGCUGUCCUUUACCAAAGGCUGUUUGUUGCCCGAAUAAAAGAACCUGUUGUCCACAUGGA